rnacentral:rRNA from 1 species
GACGAACGCUGGCGGCGUGCUUAACACAUGCAAGUCGAACGGAAAGGCCCUGCUUUUGUGGGGUGCUCGAGUGGCGAACGGGUGAGUAACACGUGAGUAACCUGCCCUUGACUUUGGGAUAACUUCAGGAAACUGGGGCUAAUACCGGAUAGGAGCUCCUGCUGCAUGGUGGGGGUUGGAAAGUUUCGGCGGUUGGGGAUGGACUCGCGGCUUAUCAGCUUGUUGGUGGGGUAGUGGCUUACCAAGGCUUUGACGGGUAGCCGGCCUGAGAGGGUGACCGGCCACAUUGGGACUGAGAUACGGCCCAGACUCCUACGGGAGGCAGCAGUGGGGAAUAUUGCACAAUGGGCGGAAGCCUGAUGCAGCAACGCCGCGUGCGGGAUGGCGGCCUUCGGGUUGUAAACCGCUUUCGCCUGUGACGAAGCGUGAGUGACGGUAAUGGGUAAAGAAGCACCGGCUAAUUACGUG